rnacentral:ncRNA from 1 species
GUAAAAAGGCAAACUUUCCGAAAGGUUAGGACGCAAAGCCAAGGGUCUAAAGUAUAUAUACCAUGACAGCCGGUUGCCGU